rnacentral:sRNA from 1 species
CCUCAAGCCUAAGGACCCCAAUGGCAGUACCUUGUCCAUAUCCAACUCCAUUUGGGAUUGUGCCCCAUGCUGGAAUGAACGGAGAGCUGACCAGCCCCGGAGCGGCCUACGCUGGGCUCCACAACAUCUCCCCUCAGAUGAGCGCAGCUGCCGCCGCCGCCGCCGCUGCUGCUGCCUAUGGGAGAUCACCAGUGGUGGGAUUUGAUCCGCACCAUCACAUGCGUGUGCCAGCAAUACCUCCAAACCUGACAGGCAUUCCAGGAGGAAAACCAGCGUACUCCUUCCAUGUUAGCGCAGACGGUCAGAUGCAGCCUGUCCCUUUUCCCCCCGACGCCCUCAUCGGACCCGGAAUCCCCAGGCAUGCUCGCCAGAUCAACACUCUCAACCACGGGGAGGUGGUGUGUGCGGUGACCAUCAGCAACCCCACGAGACACGUGUACACAGGUGGGAAGGGCUGCGUCAAGGUCUGGGACAUCAGCCACCCUGGCAAUAAGAGUCCUGUCUCCCAGCUCGACUGUCUGAUCUUUUCUCUGGGCUACUGCCCAACUGGAGAGUGGCUUGCAGUGGGGAUGGAGAACAGCAAUGUGGAAGUUUUGCAUGUCACCAAGCCAGACAAAUACCAACUACAUCUUCAUGAGAGCUGUGUGCUGUCGCUCAAGUUUGCCCAUUGUG